GGGGAAUUUUGGACAAUGGGGGCAACCCUGAUCCAGCCAUUCCGCGUGAGUGAAGAAGGCCUUCGGGUUGUAAAGCUCUUUCGCAAGGGAAGAAACGAUACAGUCUAAUAAACUGUGUUAAUGACGGUACCUUGAUAAGAAGCACCGGCUAACUACGUGCCAGCAGCCGCGGUAAUACGUAGGGUGCGAGCGUUAAUCGGAAUUACUGGGCGUAAAGCGUGCGCAGGCGGUUUUGAAAGUCAGAUGUGAAAUCCCCGGGCUCAACCUGGGAACUGCGUUUGAAACUCCAAAGCUAGAGUAUGGGAGAGGGGGGUAGAAUUCCACGUGUAGCAGUGAAAUGCGUAGAGAUGUGGAGGAAUACCAAUGGCGAAGGCAGCCCCCUGGCUUAAUACUGACGCUCAUGCACGAAAGCGUGGGGAGCAAAC
rnacentral:rRNA from 1 species